AGCGAACGCUGGCGGCAGGCCUAACACAUGCAAGUCGAACGAACUCUUCGGAGUUAGUGGCGGACGGGUGAGUAACACGUGGGAACGUGCCUUUAGGUUCGGAAUAACUCAGGGAAACUUGAGCUAAUACCGGAUGUGCCCUUCGGGGGAAAGAUUUAUCGCCUUUAGAGCGGCCCGCGUCUGAUUAGCUAGUUGGUGAGGUAAAGGCUCACCAAGGCGACGAUCAGUAGCUGGUCUGAGAGGAUGAUCAGCCACAUUGGGACUGAGACACGGCCCAAACUCCUACGGGAGGCAGCAGUGGGGAAUCUUGCGCAAUGGGCGAAAGCCUGACGCAGCCAUGCCGCGUGAAUGAUGAAGGUCUUAGGAUUGUAAAAUUCUUUCACCGGGGACGAUAAUGACGGUACCCGGAGAAGAGGCCCCGGCUAACUUCGUG
rnacentral:rRNA from 1 species